rnacentral:misc_RNA from 1 species
AACCAUAGAAACCUGCGGAGUACCUGCGGAAGGAUCAUUACCUUUAUUCAGUACGGGCGCCUGCAGUUCGCUGCAGCGCCUUGUCUGUUAUCCCCUGUUUUUUGCGUACUUGAACGUUUCCUCGGCGGCUCACCCCGCCGAACGGACAACUAUAUAAACCUUUUUUUUGCAAUUGCAAUCAGCGUCUGAAUAAAUAUACAAUAUUUACAACUUUCAACAACGGAUCUCAGAUCGGAAGAG